CAAAAGUAAUUGUGGUUGUUGCUGCAAUUAAAAGUAAUGGCAAAAACUGCAAUUACUUU
rnacentral:miRNA from 13 species